AAGUCUUCACCAGGAAAUACUAAUUUCUUGCAAUUUGCAACAUGGAGCUCGCUAAUUCCUAUCUAAUUUUCCAGAUAUGAUGGCUCUGAUUGAUGUCAGAGUGGGAUUCAAAGUAGAACUUCAGUGACUCCAAGGAGCACCAAGUCACCAAAAGUUGGCCUUCUGUAUCCAUGAGUUCCAUAUGAGUGGAUUCAACCAACUGUAGAUUUUUUACAGUCCAGAGAUGUCUUUCUCAAGUACCUGGAAGCCAGCUCUUUGAAAUGUAACAUCAAGAAUACAGUGCUCCAUUAUGGAAAACAGUAUGGAAGUUCCUCAAAAAUUUAAACAUAGAACUACCAUCUGACUCAGCAAUCCCAUUUCUGGGUACAUAUCCAGAGGAAAUAAAAUCAUAUUCCCAAAAAAUAGUUGCACUCCCAUGUACAUUGCACCAUUAUUCACAUAGCCAAGAUAAAGAACAGCCUAACAGGUGAAUGGAUUAAAUAAUGUGAGAUGUAUAUGUGUGUGUGUAUAUAUAUAUAUAUAUAUGUAUAUAUAUAUAUAUAAUCCCAUGUGUGAAAACAAUGUAUAGAUAUAUGGCUAUUUGGAUAUGUAUGUGCGUGUGUGUGUGUGUGUAUAUAUAUAUAUACACAUACGCAAUGGAAUAUUAUUCCAUCUUUUUUAAAAAAGGAUAUCUUUUCAUUUGUAACAACAAGGAUGAGCCUGGAGAACGUUGUGUUAAGGGAAAUAAGCCAGGCAUAGAAAGACAAAUACUGCAUAAUCAAACUUAUAUGUAGAAUCUUUAAAAAAGUCCAACUCCUAGUAACAGAGAGUAGAAUGGUGGUUACUAGGGGCUGGAUAUAGUGAAAAAGGAAGAUAUUGGUUAAAACGUACAACCUUUCAGUUAUACAGUGAGUAUGUUCUGGAGACUUAAUAUACAGCAUGGUGGCUACACUUAAGGAUAAUGUAUUGUCAUUAAUGUAAUGUAAUGUCUUGAAAUUUGCUGACAGAACGGAUCGCAAGUGUUCUCACUACAAAAAAGGCAAUUAUGCGAGAUGAUGGGUAUGUUAAUUAGCUUGACUGUG
rnacentral:lncRNA from 1 species